GCGACGCUGGCGGCGUGCUUACACAUGCUACCUCGAGCGGAUAAGGCCCUUCGGGGGUACACGAGCGGCGAACGGGUGAGUAACACGUGAGCAACCUGCCCCUGACUCUGGGAUAAGCGGUGGAAACGCCGUCUAAUACCGGAUACGACCCGCCACCUCAUGGUGGAGGGUGGAAAGUUUUUCGGUCAGGGAUGGGCUCGCGGCCUAUCAGCUUGUUGGUGGGGUAACGGCCUACCAAGGCGAUUACGGGUAGCCGGCCUGAGAGGGCGACCGGCCACACUGGGACUGAGACACUGCCCAGACUCCUGCGGGAGGCAGCAGUGGGGAAUAUUGCGCUAUGGGCGAAAGCCUGACGCAGCGACGCCGCGUGGGGGAUGACCGCCUUCGGGUUGUAAACCUCUUUUACCACCAACGCAGGCUUCCGGGUUCUCUGGAGGUUGACGGGAGGUGGGUAAUAAAGACCGGCUAACUACGUGCCAGCAGCCGCUGUAAUACGUAGGGUCCGAGCGUUGUCCGGAAUUAUUGGGCGUAAAGAGCUCGUAGGCGGCGUGUCGCGUCUGCUGUGAAAGACCGGGGCUUAACUCCGGUUCUGCAGUGGAUACGGGCAUGCUAGAGGUAGGUAGGGGAGACUGGAAUUCCUGGUGUAGCGGUGAAAUGCGCAGAUAUCAGGAGGAACACCGGUGGCGAAGGCGGGUCUCUGGGCCUUACCUGACGCUGAGGAGCGAAAGCAUGGGGAGCGAACAGGAUUAGAUACCCUGGUAGUCCAUGCCGUAAACGUUGGGCGCUAGGUGUGGGGACUUUCCACGGUUUCCGCGCCGUAGCUAACGCAUUAAGCGCCCCGCCUGGGGAGUACGGCCGCAAGGCUAAAACUCAAAGGAAUUGACGGGGGCCCGCACAAGCGGCGGAGCAUGUUUGCUUAAUUCGACGCAACGCGAAGAACCUUACCAAGGUUUGACAUCACCCGUGGACUCGCAGAGAUGUGAGGUCAUUUAGUUGGCGGGUGACAGGUGGUGCAUGGCUGUCGUC
rnacentral:rRNA from 1 species